AAUGCGUUCACUCGGCGCAAACAUGGCUGCGGCCCUGCGCGCCGCGGGCGUCCUGCUCCGCGAUCCGCUGGUGUCCAGCAGCUGGAGGGUCUAUCAGCCAUGGAGGUGGAAGUCAGUUGCAGCUGCAGCGGCCGCCACCACAGAAACAGCCCAGCAUGCCCAGGGUGCAAAACCUCAAGUUCAACCGCAGAAGAGGAAGCCGAAAACUGGAAUAUUAAUGCUAAACAUGGGAGGCCCUGAAACUCUCGGAGAUGUUCACGACUUCCUUCUGAGACUCUUCUUGGACCGAGACCUCAUGACGCUUCCUAUUCAGAAGUGAGAUAUAUAUAAACACCUUGAUUAUAACCUUGGCACUACAUUGACAUGUGUCUCUCAAUUCUGUAGUUUCAAACCAGUAAAUAGUUUUAAUGCGUAUCUGGUAAUGGUUAAACAGCAGCAUUGUUUUCUGUUGGAUAUCAGAAGGAUAUGAUAUCAGAAAAUUGCAGGGGGAGAGAGCAAAUAAGUUAGUGGGGAUUCUCCUUGAGCCCUUUGCUCCCCAGAGCCCUGGAAAUUGCAG
rnacentral:sRNA from 1 species